AUUGAACGCUGGCGGCAGGCCUAACACAUGCAAGUCGAACGAGUGGCGGACGGGUGAGUAAUAUCUGGGAAACUGCCUGAUGGAGGGGGAUCACUACUGGAAACGGUAGCUAAUACCGCAUACCAUGUGAUGUGCCCAGAUGGGAUUAGCGAGGAGGUGGGGUAAAGGCUCACCUAGGCGACGAUCCCUAGCUGGUCUGAGAGGAAGCCCAGCCACACUGUGACUGAGACACGGUCCAGACUCCUACGGGAGGCAGCAGUGGGGAAUAUUGCACAAGUGGCGCAAGCCUGAUGCAGCCAUGCCGCGUGUAUGAAGAAGGCCUUGGGGUUGUAAAGUACUUUCAGCGGGGAGGCGUUACCCGCAGAAGAAGCACCGGCUAACUCCGUGCCAGCAGCCGCGGUAAUAC
rnacentral:rRNA from 1 species